CAUGCCGCGUGCAGGAUGACGGUCCUAUGGAUUGUAAACUGCUUUUGUACAGGAAGAAACACCUCUACGUGUAGAGACUUGACGGUACUGUAAGAAUAAGGAUCGGCUAACUCCGUGCCAGCAGCCGCGGUAAUACGGAGGAUCCAAGCGUUAUCCGGAAUCAUUGGGUUUAAAGGGUCCGUAGGCGGUCUUAUAAGUCAGUGGUGAAAUCUCCCCGCUCAACGGGGAAACGGCCAUUGAUACUGUAAGACUUGAAUUAUUAGGAAGUAACUAGAAUAUGUAGUGUAGCGGUGAAAUGCUUAGAGAUUACAUGGAAUACCAAUUGCGAAGGCAGGUUACUACUAAUGGAUUGACGCUGAUGGACGAAAGCGUGGGUAGCGAACAGGAUUAGAUACCCUGGUAGUCCACGCCGUAAACGAUGGAUACUAGCUGUUGGGCGCAAGUUCAGUGGCUAAGCGAAAGUGAUAAGUAUCCCACCUGGGGAGUACGUUCGCAAGAAUGAAACUCAAAGGAAUUGACGGGGGCCCGCACAAGCGGUGGAGCAUGUGGUUUAAUUCGAUGAUACGCGAGGAACCUUACCAAGGCUUAAAUGUAGAUUGACCGGUUUGGAAACAGACUUUUCGCAAGACAAUUUACAAGGUGCUGCAUGGUUGUCGUCAGCUCGUGCCGUGAGGUGUCAGGUUAAGUCCUAUAACGAGCGCAACCCCUGUUGUUAGUUGCCAGCGAGUCAUGUCGGGAACUCUAACGAGACUGCCAGUGCAAACUGAGAGGAAGGUGGGGAUGACGUCAAAUCAUCACGGCCCUUACGCCUUGGGCUACACACGUGCUA
rnacentral:rRNA from 1 species